rnacentral:rRNA from 1 species
UACGAAGGGGGCUAGCGUUGUUCGGAAUUACUGGGCGUAAAGCGUGCGCAGGCGGUUCUGAAAGUCAGCUGUGAAAGCCCCGGGCUUAACCUGGGAAUUGCGGUUGAAACUACAGGGCUAGAAUCUGGCAGAGGGGGGUGGAAUUCCACGUGUAGCAGUGAAAUGCGUAGAGAUGUGGAGGAACACCGAUGGCGAAGGCAGCCCCCUGGGCUGAGAUUGACGCUCAGGCACGAAAGCGUGGGGAGCAAACAGG